AGUGAACGCUGGCGGUAGGCCUAACACAUGCAAGUCGAACGGCAGCACAGUAAGAGCUUGCUCUUACGGGUGGCGAGUGGCGGACGGGUGAGGAAUACUUCGGAUUCUACUUUUUCGUGGGGGAUAACGUAGGGAAACUUACGCUAAUACCGCAUACGACCUACGGGUGAAAGCAGGGGAACUUCGGACCUUGCGCGAUUGAAUGAGCCGAUGUCGGAUUAGCUAGUUGGCGGGUUAAAGGCCAUCCAAGGCGACGAUCCGUAACUGGUCCGAGAGGAUGGUCCGCCACACUGUAACUGAGACACGGCCCAGACUCCGAGGGGAGGCAGCAGUGGAGAAUAUUGGACGAAGGGGGCAAGCCUGAUCCAGCCAUACCGCGUGAGUGAAGAAGGCCUUCGGGUUGUAAAGCCCUUUUGUUGGGAAAGAAAAGCAGCAGGUUAAUACCCCGCUGUUCUGACGGUACCCAAAGAAUAAGCACCGGCUAACUUCGUG
rnacentral:rRNA from 1 species